rnacentral:rRNA from 1 species
CCUACGGGAGGCAGCAGUGGGGGAUAUUGCACAAUGGGGGGAACCCUGAUGCAGCGACGCCGCGUGGGUGAAGAAGCGCCUCGGCGCGUAAAGCCCUGUCAGCAGGGAAGAAAAUGACGGUACCUGAAGAAGAAGCCCCGCCAAACUACGUGCAGGCAGCCGCGGAAAUACGUAGGGGGCAAGCGUUAUCCGGAUUUACUGGGUGUAAAGGGGGCGCAGACGGCGCUGCAAGCCAGGGGUGAAAGCCCGGGGCCCAACCCCGGGACUGCUCUUGGAACGGCGUGGCUGGAGUGGAGGAGGGGCAGGGGGAAUUCCUGGUGUAGCGGUGAAAGGCGUGGAAAUCAGGAGGAACACCGGUGGCGAAGGCGGCCUGCUGGACUGCAACUGACGUUGAGGCCCGAAAGCGUGGGGAGCAAACAGGAUUAGAUACCCUGGAGUC